rnacentral:lncRNA from 1 species
UUUACCUUGCAUGCUUGAGUUACUAUCACAUUUUCAAAUAUUUGUUUCAUAGCAUGGAAAUACUGAAACCAAUUAUGUUUUGGGGGCUAAAUUUUGUUAUAAAACUUGGCUAUAGGGUUCUGUUGAUAAUAAUAAAUAACAUGCAUUGAAAUAUCAGCUUUCUCAUGCUUUUACUUUAUUUAUUCGGCAGUUUUAUUGGCACUGCAUGCAGUCUGAGGAGGAGCUAAUACCUUUUUCAUUCUUAUUGAUCGAUUAAUAAGGGAUGAAAAAGUUAAAGAGGUUUGGGGUUAUCCUGUAUGGCAUCACGUGACAUAGGUAUGUAUUGUGUUCUAUCUUUUAGCAAUAUUUUGCUCGUAAAUAAAUUUUGUACUCAGAAUUGAGCACUAACUUUUCCAGGUACACCAUGUACACACCUCCCUCAUCUCGUCUCUUCAUUGUGAAUCAGUUUUGUUUGUCUCAGUUAUGUUGUACUAGGUAGGAUUUUCGGGAAUAGUAUGUCGGAUUUUUGGGAAUAGUAGAUUACCUCUAUUCAGGUUUGAAUUCGAUAGAGAAGUCUGAAACUUGAUUAAUUCCACUUACCAGAUGAUGUUUUACACUUUUCCAGCUGCAGUUUCUUCGUGUUGUUGUAAUGUCGAUUGAUGGAAUGUACUGCAAGUUCAAAAAAUAAUAGUCCUUGUGUUUAUUGUCGAUUCUUGUUUGUAUUAAUGGUCAAUUUCCUUGUACUCUUGGAGGGAAGAUUGCAUAUGAGUGCAUAUAUUCAAGUGAAUUAUUGGGUAACAUAAGAUAUGUCUAAUUUUUCUUAAUUGCUGCUGCUGCU